UCCAGACUCCUACGGGAGGCAGCAGUGGGGAAUAUUGCGCAAUGGGGGAAACCCUGACGCAGCAACGCCGCGUGAGUGAGGAAGUAUCUCGGUAUGUAAAGCUCUAUCAGCGGGGAAGAAAGAGGACGGUACCCGACUAAGAAGCCCCGGCUAACUACGUGCCAGCAGCCGCGGUAAUACGUAGGGGGCGAGCGUUAUCCGGAUUUACUGGGUGUAAAGGGAGCGUAGACGGCAGUGCAAGUCUGGAGUGAAAGGCGGGGGCUCAACCCCCGGACUGCUCUGGAAACUGUACGGCUGGAGUGCAGGAGAGGUAAGUGGAAUUCCUAGUGUAGCGGUGAAAUGCGUAGAUAUUAGGAGGAACACCAGUGGCGAAGGCGGCUUACUGGACUGUAACUGACGUUGAGGCUCGAAAGCGUGGGGAGCAAACAGGAUUAGAUACCCGCGUACG
rnacentral:rRNA from 1 species